ensembl:lncRNA
CCAGCGAUAGGUGAAAUCAAGUAGCCAAUUUUAUUUUUUGAUGCAUGGACAUCCAGUACUGCACUUCAGAGUCACACUGCUAGCAAUCGAUGCAGCGAUUCUGUACUGUACAGGAGAGACGUCACGGAGGAGAUCGUCUGCAGCGAUCAGGACGCAGGACACAAUGUGACGUAAAAAUAAGCAUGAAAACUUGCACUAAAAAAUCCGCAAAACAGCGAGGUGAAAGGUGAACCACGUUAUAACGAGGGACCACUGUAAUUUUGAAGUGUACCUGGAUAGAAAACACCCAGUGGAACACUACCAGUCAUGGAUUGGCCUCCCCAGAGCCCAGACCUCAACAUAAUUGAAGCUAUGUGGGAUCAACUUGAUCGAGAACGAAACGAAAGGCAGAAACAUCCAAAGAAGAGCUUUGAUGUUCAGCUCUAAUGUGCUUAGUUCUCCAGGCUUCUUGAAGGACAUUCAUUUUCACUUUGUAUACUUUAUUUCCAUGUGUUUGGACAUGUUUCAAUAAACU